rnacentral:lncRNA from 1 species
GGGGGCUGCAGCUCAGUAUGUGGCACACCCCAGCAGCCUCAGCCCAGUGGUGAGCAGCUGGGUGGGGGACUCUGUAGGCCUCUGGGGUCUGGGAAGAGAUCCCCAUGCCAUGCUUUCCUGAAUACUGAGGCUCAGGGUCCGGGUCCACUCUUCAGUAACACCGGGGUCUGGCUGGGGAGCCCCGCCUGCUGACGAGGGCCUGUCUCCCGGUAUCGCUGGCUAGGAUGGGGCAGGUCUGCAGAGACACCAUGAAAGGGACGCUUGCUGGCUCCUAAGUGUCUUUAAUGGUUUCAUUCUGUGGCCCUUCCCCCCAACCCUGGCGACUGUCCCAGCAAGCAGUCAGUAGAGGUCCACAGAGUUCAGUGGGGGCCUGGAGAUGUCGGACCUGUGAGGGAAGGGCCACUCUCCCCUUGUAACCUGUGGGGGAGGAGCUGGGUCAUUCCUGUGGAUUCUGCCCUGCCCCCCACCUCCCCGGCCUGUGCCACCUCUGGUACCUCUGGUGGCUGCUAGGUGGAAGCUGCAGCAAGGGGGUCCCACGUGCAGGGCCUCUGCGUGCUACACAUCUCACAGCCAGGGCGGUCUGGGGCAUUGAUGAAGGUGCAGGAAGGACAGGACCAGCUGGGCUGGGGGAGGAGAGACCAUUGUUGCUUCCCUGCUUUUUCCAAUGCCCAUGGCUGUCCUGGCCCUCCCCUGCCCAGUCCCGUGCCCACCUGGAGCGGACUGGGCAGGCUGGAGGCAGCUGGCUGGGGGCCUGGGGGUAGCUCCAAUGAUGGGGGAAACAAGCGUCCAAGUUCCCCGUCCAUCUUCUGGGGGCGCUGAGGGCUAGGUCCUGUGGCUGAGGGGGUGGAGCUCAGGACUGUGGGGCUGCACCCCACCUCCCACACCCCACCCCCAUCGAGGACUGACCUGGGGCUUCUCGAGGAGCUGACAGCAAGUAGAGGAAAGCAGGGUCCCCAUCCUGCCGAACCCCGUAAGAGGCAAGGCUGCGCUCAGGCACACACAGGCACCGUCCGAUGACCCAGCGUUGCACAGCUGGCGGGAAACCGAGCUCUGAGAACACCUGUGGCCAGAGCAUCAGGGCAGGUGAUGUCACCUAGGCUCCUCUGCCCCUGGCAGGGCUCCCCAGACCCUGUGCCCACCUGCUCCUGGAGAGCUGCAACGGUGCGGUGGGGGUGGACCUGCAGGGCAACGUGUGCAGAGGACGCGGCGGAUGCGGCAGACGCAGNNNNNNNNNNGGGGGGGAUGCGGCAGACGCAGCGUCUUCAAGUGUGACCUGCAGCCUGUGCCAGAACGUGGGUUCAGGGAUGGAUGGGGGACCUGGGAUGGUCACGAGGACAAGCUGAAGAAGCAGCCCCAGGCCUCACCUGAUGGGGCCAGGUGGGAAGCAGGCCUCCUGAAGCUGAACACUCAGGGCCACACGAUGCUGGGCCAGGACGGCUGCCACUUGGGCUGCCCCCUUCUCGUCUCCACCUGCAAUAGCCCGGGUCAGGCUCCCUGCCAGCUCUUCUGCAGGGUAAGGAAAGGACAGCUGUCACCACUGGGGACUAUCUGCUAUCCCCGAACCCCCCAACCCCCUCCCCCCACCUGUACCUCUCUCCGUCAAGUUUCCAGGGCUCCUAGGAAGAUCUGCCUCAGGUUGAGGGGCCUUGAGUGUGGGGGCUUCCGGGGGACUGGGCAGGGAGACAGGGCAUGCUUCUGGGCCCAGGGCUGGUGGUGAGUUGCUGUUGCUGCCUAGAGGUAAGAUAUGGAUGUGCUGUGCUGUGGCCUCUGUCCAGGCCUCUAGGCCCUUGAUUUUCCAGGACCUUUGCCUUCUCCCUCACCUCAGCCCAUGCCAGGGCCCUGCCUCAGGCCACACUUCUAGCCACACCUUCUCCCAGCCUUGGCUCUGGCAAGCCCCUCUCAGGGUGGCCUCUUGGAGCCCUUGGGGACCUCCCCUCUCCGGG